CGGAGGAAAAACCAGCAAGAAGGCAGCAGGAGAAGGUGGCGGUCCUGGGGCUGAAUUUGCAAUCUUUCUGACUAGGCUAGUCGAGUAACUGUUCGGGUCAUGGCAUCAAACUCAACUAAGUCUUUCCUGGCAGAUGCCGGCUAUGGCAAACAGGAACUGGAUGCCAACUCUGCCCUUGUGGAAUUGGACAAAGGCCUAAGAUAUGGCAAACUUGGUGAACAGUGUGAAGCAGGUGUUCGCUUUCCCAGGCUUUUUCAGAAGUAUCCAUUCCCUGUUCUUAUCAAUUCUGCAUUUCUAAAGUUAGCUGAUGUUUUCAGAGUUGGAAAUAAUUUCCUGAGGCUAUGUGUUCUUAAAGUUACCCAAUAAAGUGAGAAACAUUUGGAGAAGAUUCUGAAUGUGGAUGAAUUUGUGAAGAGAAUCUUUUCUGUAAUUCAUAGUAAUGAUCCUGUGGCAAGAGCCAUCACACUCCGGAUGUUGGGAAGUCUGGCAUCAAUCAUUCCUGAGAGGAAGAAUGCUCAUUAUAGUAUUCGUCAGAGUUUAGAUUCACAUGAUAAUGUAGAAGUUGAAGCCGCUGUUUUUGCUGCCGCAAACUGCUCUGCACAGUCAAAGGAUUUUGCUGUAGGAAUCUGUAACAAAAUCAGUGAAAUGAUUCAAGGUUUAGUGACACCAGUAGACUUGAAGCUAAAAUUGAUACCCAUCUUACAGCACAUGCACCAUGAUGCAAUCCUGGCUUCCAGAGCUCAUCAGCUUUUACAACAGCUGGUCACAUCCUAUCCAUCCACCAAAAUGGUGAUCGUUUCUUUGCACACUUUCACUCUGCUUGCAGCUUCAUCUUUGGUUGAUACACCUAAGCAGAUUCAGCUUCUGUUGCAGUAUUUGAAGAAUGAUCCCAGGAAAGCAGUAAAGAGACUUGCUAUUCAAGAUUUGAAAUUACUUGCUAAUAAAACACCACAUACUUGGAGUAAGGAGAACAUUCAGGCACUUUGUGGGUGUGCCCUCCAGACUCCUUAUGACAGCUUCAAACUAGGGAUGUUGUCUGUCCUUUCCACACUAUCAGAGACCAUCGCCAUCAAACAUUACUUCAGUAUAGUUCCAGGAAAUGUGAGUUCUUCUCCCAGAUCUUCUGAUUUAGUCAAAUUAGCCCAAGAGUGCUGUUACCAUAAUAACAGGGGCAUUGCAGCUCAUGGAGUUAGAGUCCUAACUAAUAUAACUGUUUCUUGUCAAGAAAAAGAUCUUUUGGCACUGGAACAGGAUGCUGUCUUUGGCCUGGAAUCCCCACUGGUACUUUGCAGUCAAGAUGAUAGUCCAGGUCCUCAGACCACUUUAAAGAUUGCUCUAAACUGUAAGGUGAAGUUGGCCAAGGGCAGGCCCCAUCUUAGUUAGUAGUGGUUGAGACCUUGUUGACUCAGUUGCACAGUGCUCAGGAUGCUGCCUGGAUUUUGAUGUGCCAUUGUUUGGCAGCCAUUGCCAUGCAGCUGCUGGUGCUGGGUGAUGGGAUGCUUGGUGACCUCAUGGAGCUAUACAAGGUGACUGGACGAUCAGCCACAGACAAGCAACAAGAACUUCUGGUGAGUUUGGCUACUGUGAUUUUGUAGCGAGUCAGAAGGCAUUAUCGGUGGAAGUAACGGCAGUGAUUAAGCAGCAGCUUGAAAGUGUCUCCAAUGGAUGGACUAUAUACUGUAUUGCCAGACAGUCUUCCAGAAUGGGUAAUCAUGACAUGGCCAAAGAGCUUUAUCAGAGUUUGCUGACUCAGUUUGCCUCAGAACACUUCUACUUCUGGCUAAAUAGUCUGAAGGAGUUCUCACAUGCAGAGCAGUGUCUCACUGGUUGCAAGAGGAAAACUAUAGUUCAGCACUUUCUUGCAUUGCUGAGUCUUUAAUAUUCUAUCACAAAAGGAUUGCUUCCUUAGCAGCUAGUACACCACUGAAUCCUUUAAGUUUUCAAUGUGAACUUGUAAAACUCAGGAUUGACCUUCUACAAGACUUCUCUCAACUUAUCUGUACUUGUAAUAGCCUAAAGACAAGCCCCCACCUGCAAUUGCCACAACAAUUGCCAUGACCCUAGGAAAUGACCUUGAGAGGUGUGGUCGAAUCUCCAGUCAGAUGAAACAGUCCGUGGAAGAAUUUCGGAGCCUUGCUUCUCCAUAUGGGGAUCUUUACCAGGCCUCUUUUGAUGCUGACUCAGCAACUUUGAGGAACGUCGAACUACAGCAGCAGAGUUGUUUACUGAUGCAAUAGAAGCCCUGAUUUUGGAUCCAGAAUCAGCAAGUUUCCAGGAAUAUGGAUCUACUGGAACAGCCCAUGCUGAUAGUGAAUAUGAAAGAAGAAUGAUGUCUGUAUAUAAUCAUGUCCUGGAGGAAGUAGAAUCACUCAAUCGGAAAUAUACCCGUUUCUUAUAUGCAUACAGCAUGCUUCUGCAAUGCCAUCAUUGCUUUGCUGAAAGUUCCCCUUUCUUUCCAGAGAUAUUUUUUCCAGAAACUACAGUCUACUAGCAUCAAGCUUGCUCUGUCACUAUCACCCCGGAACCCUGCAGAGCCCAUUGCUGUCCAGAAUAACCAGCAGCUGGCGCUAAAGGUAGAGGGAGUGGUUUAGCACAGAUCUAAACCAGGACUCUUUCGCAAAAUUCAGUCUGUCUGUCGGAAUGUUUCUUCCACCCUGCAGAGUAAAUCCGGACAAGACUACAAGAUACCCAUUGACAACAUGACCAAUGAGAUGGAGCAAAGGGUUGAACCUCAUAAUGAUUACUUCAGUACUCAAUUUCUGUUGAACUUUGCUAUCCUUGGAACACACAACAUUACAGUGGAAUCUUCAGUGAAAGAUGCCAAUGGUAUAGUAUGUAAAGCUGGUCCCAGAACUACCAUAUUUGUAAAAUCCCUGGAAGACCUUUAUUCCCAGCAAAUUCGCUUACGACAGCAGCGAGCCCAGCAGCCAUUACAGCAACAGCAGCAGCGCAAUGCCUACACAUGGUUUUAACCGUGGAUGAAUGCACUGCAAACUUUGAAGAGAUCAAUCACAUUGGCAGAAACAGUCUUUCAUAUGGAGUAAGUAUGAAAGUUACAAUGUAGUUCAUUUAUUCAUUGAUUUUUGUAAUAUUCUGGAAAAAUUUUGUUUGAAAAAUAAUUGGGCUCCUGGCCAGAAAUAUCAUUUUUUCUUGUUUUAUUAUUACUGUUUUUUCUUUUGCCAGGCUUUUUCUUUUUCUUUCAAGAGUAGUCACAUGUUGAGAUCAUUACAUUAGUAAAUUUGACUGCUCCUCUUCCAAAAUACAUCAUUUGCUGCCUGAGUUAGACCUAGAAUUCUGAGAUGUUCAUUGGGAAGUUCUGACCAGUCACUCCAAGGUUUAUCCAUGGUAGCAGAACCUGUCCUCCUAUAGAUGGACUUGAAAAGUGUUCCCUGCAACAUCCAGCCUUCUGGAUUAUUAAAGCCCACAGUCUAGUAGUAUUGAAGCAUCCUGCUGUAUUAUUUCAACCACACAUCUAUCUAUCUCUUCCUGUGCUAAAGCAAUCUUAAUUUAGUAUUUUCAUAUUUAAUUGACACAAAGAACAGCUAGAAAUUUCAUAGAAAAUUAAAGAUUAAUAAUUUGUUUUUUUCUAAUAUGUCUACGACUAUAUAAUACAGACAUUUCACAUUGGUUCUAAAAAUGAAAAAAAAUCACUCCUUUAAUAUCUUAAUGUUUUAAGUUAGAAGGGGUGGAUCUUUUCCUUUGGUUGGUGAUUGCUUUUGUUUCUGCUUGAUGAGUUAUGCUAGACUUGAUUGUUUAGAGAGAGCAGUCUCUUUAUAACAUAGGCUCAGUUAGUUGGGAUGCUCAGGGAACAGAGUUUUCUGGUUAGCCAGAAACCGCCCCCUUUCUUUUCUUUUUUUAAUAUUGGUUAAAAACCAUGUUAAAAUAGACUUUCUUAACACAGUGUACUAGAUGUAACUUAACUGCUUCUUGAUUGGGGAUCAUUUAGGGCUCCGGGAUCAUGAUGUCUAAACAUCAGGGAUCAUAUGGUUGCAGAUAUUGAUGCUGUAAGUAAUUUGGCUGGAUGCAGCUCCUAAGGUAAAGCAGGGUACUUUCCCUGGAAUUUCCCUUUUAAAUAAACAUCUCAGUUUCUUU